rnacentral:tRNA from 1 species
CCCUGGGUGGCUCAGUUGGUUAAGCAUCUGACUUCAGCUCAGGUCAUGAUCUUGAGGUUUGUGAGUUCGAGGCCCACCAUGGGGC